GCUUGCAGGGUACUCGAGUGGCGAACGGGUGAGUAACACGUGGGUGAUCUGCCCUGCACUUCGGGAUAAGCUUGGGAAACUGGGUCUAAUACCGGAUAGGAGCCAUCUUUAGUGUGGUGGUUGGAAAGUUUUUUCGGUGUAGGAUGAGCUCGCGGCCUAUCAGCUUGUUGGUGGGGUAAUGGCCUACCAAGGCGGCGACGGGUAGCCGGCCUGAGAGGGUGUACGGCCACAUUGGGACUGAGAUACGGCCCAGACUCCUACGGGAGGCAGCAGUGGGGAAUAUUGCACAAUGGGCGCAAGCCUGAUGCAGCGACGCCGCGUGGGGGAUGAAGGCCUUCGGGUUGUAAACUCCUUUCGCUAGGGACGAAGCUUUGUGUGACGGUACCUAGAUAAGAAGCACCGGCUAACUACGUGCCAGCAGCCGCGGUAAUACGUAGGGUGCGAGCGUUGUCCGGAAUUACUGGGCGUAAAGAGCUCGUAGGUGGUUUGUCGCGUCGUCUGUGAAAUUCUGGGGCUUAGCUCCGGGCGUGCAGGCGAUACGGGCAUAACUUGAGUGCUGUAGGGGUAACUGGAAUUCCUGGUGUAGCGGUGAAAUGCGCAGAUAUCAGGAGGAACACCGAUGGCGAAGGUAGGUUACUGGGCA
rnacentral:rRNA from 1 species